GUGGGGAAUAUUGGACAAUGGGCGCAAGCCUGAUCCAGCCAUGCCACGUGAGUGAUGAAGGCCUUAGGGUUGUAAAGCUCUUUCGUCAGGGAAGAUAAUGACGGUACCUGAAGAAGAAGCCCCGGCUAACUUCGUGCCAGCAGCCGCGGUAAUACGAAGGGGGCUAGCGUUGCUCGGAAUCACUGGGCGUAAAGCGCACGUAGGCGGCUUUCUAAGUCAGGGGUGAAAUCCUGGAGCUCAACUCCAGAACUGCCUUUGAUACUGGAGAGCUUGAGUUCGGGAGAGGUGAGUGGAACUGCGAGUGUAGAGGUGAAAUUCGUAGAUAUUCGCAAGAACACCAGUGGCGAAGGCGGCUCACUGGCCCGAUACUGACGCUGAGGUGCGAAAGCGUGGGGAGCAAACAGGAUUAGAUACCCCGGUAGUCC
rnacentral:rRNA from 1 species